UAGAAUACAGUGGAGGAUCGCCAGUUAC
rnacentral:sRNA from 1 species